UAUACAUGCAAGUAGAACGCUGAAGAGAGGAGCUUGCUCUUCUUGGAUGAGUUGCGAACGGGUGAGUAACGCGUAGGUAACCUGCCUUGUAGCGGGGGAUAACUAUUGGAAACGAUAGCUAAUACCGCAUAACAAUGGAUGACACAUGUCAUUUAUUUGAAAGGGGCAAUUGCUCCACUACAAGAUGGACCUGCGUUGUAUUAGCUAGUAGGUGAGGUAAUGGCUCACCUAGGCGACGAUACAUAGCCGACCUGAGAGGGUGAUCGGCCACACUGGGACUGAGACACGGCCCAGACUCCUACGGGAGGCAGCAGUAGGGAAUCUUCGGCAAUGGGGGCAACCCUGACCGAGCAACGCCGCGUGAGUGAAGAAGGUUUUCGGAUCGUAAAGCUCUGUUGUAAGUCAAGAACGGGUGUGAGAGUGGAAAGUUCACACUGUGACGGUAGCUUACCAGAAAGGGACGGCUAACUACGUGCCAGCAGCCGCGGUAAUACGUAGGUCCCGAGCGUUGUCCGGAUUUAUUGGGCGUAAAGCGAGCGCAGGCGGUUUGAUAAGUCUGAAGUUAAAGGCUGUGGCUCAACCAUAGUUCGCUUUGGAAACUGUCAAACUUGAGUGCAGAAGGGGAGAGUGGAAUUCCAUGUGUAGCGGUGAAAUGCGUAGAUAUAUGGAGGAACACCGGUGGCGAAAGCGGCUCUCUGGUCUGUAACUGACGCUGAGGCUCGAAAGCGUGGGGAGCGAACAGGAUUAGAUACCCUGGUAGUCCCACGCCGUAAACGAUGAGUGCUAGGUGUUGGAUCCUUUCCGGGAUUCAGUGCCGCAGCUAACGCAUUAAGCACUCCGCCUGGGGAGUACGACCGCAAGGUUGAAACUCAAAGGAAUUGACGGGGGCCCGCACAAGCGGUGGAGCAUGUGGUUUAAUUCGAAGCAACGCGAAGAACCUUACCAGGUCUUGACAUCCCGAUGCUAUUUCUAGAGAUAGAAAGUUACUUCGGUACAUCGGUGACAGGUGGUGCAUGGUUGUCGUCAGCUCGUGUCGUGAGAUGUUGGGUUAAGUCCCGCAACGAGCGCAACCCCUAUUGUUAGUUGCCAUCAUUCAGUUGGGCACUCUAGCGAGACUGCCGGUAAUAAACCGGAGGAAGGUGGGGAUGACGUCAAAUCAUCAUGCCCCUUAUGACCUGGGCUACACACGUGCUACAAUGGUUGGUACAACGAGUUGCGAGUCGGUGACGGCGAGCUAAUCUCUUAAAGCCAAUCUCAGUUCGGAUUGUAGGCUGCAACUCGCCUACAUGAAGUCGGAAUCGCUAGUAAUCGCGGAUCAGCACGCCGCGGUGAAUACGUUCCCGGGCCUUGUACACACCGCCCGUCACACCACGAGAGUUUGUAACACC
rnacentral:rRNA from 1 species